rnacentral:rRNA from 1 species
UACGAAGGGGGGCUAGCGUUGCUCGGAAUCACUGGGCGUAAAGGGUGCGUAGGCGGGUUUUUAAGUCAGGGGUGAAAUCCUGGAGCUCAACUCCAGAACUGCCUUUGAUACUGAAGAUCUUGAGUUCGGGAGAGGUGAGUGGAACUGCGAGUGUAGAGGUGAAAUUCGUAGAUAUUCGUCAAGAACACCAGUGGCGAAGGCGGGUCUCUGGACAGUUCCUGACGCUGAGGCACGAAGGCCAGGGGAGCAAACGGG